rnacentral:rRNA from 1 species
GAUGAACGCUAGCAGAACGCCUAACACAUGCAAGUCGAACGGACUUGUUGACUUCGGUUAACAAGUUAGUGGCAAACGGGCGAGUAACACGUGCUUAAUUUGCCCCGGAGAGGUGGACAACUACGGAGACGUAGCUAAACCACCAUACGCUCAUAGAAAUGAAAAUACUAUGAGGAAACAAUUUAUUGCUCUGGGAGAAGGGCGCGGCCUAUCAGGUAGUUGGUGAGGUAAAGGCUCACCAAGCCUACGACGGGUAGCCGGUCUGAGAGGAUGUCCGGCCGCAAUGGAACUGAGACACGGUCCAUACCCCUACGGGGGGCAGCAGUGGGGAAUCUUGGUCAAUGGACGAAAGUCUGAACCAGCGAUUCUGCGUGAAGGAUGAAGCCUCGCGGGGUGUAAACUUCUUUUAUGGGGGAAGACGAAUGACGGUACCCCACGAAUAAGGGACGGCUAACUACGUGCCAGCAGCCGCGGUAAUGUAU